UGGACUUCGUCUCACAAGAUG
rnacentral:misc_RNA from 1 species